GAGCAAAGCAGCAAGCAGAGGAGGUAUCUUUUAGAGGUUUUCUACUAUGUCAAUAUUGUCAUUUUGAUUUGCCAUUUUGUUUCUUUAAUUGAGAUCAUUUUUCAUUCUGAUUGGGAAAAGUGAAAAAUUGUGAAUCUGCUGUCUUUAUUUAUGUGCUGACCAAGAGCCAAGAAAACUUGUUCUGCAUCAAUGUUUUUGGAAUACUCGUAUUCAG
rnacentral:misc_RNA from 1 species